rnacentral:rRNA from 1 species
GAUCCUGGCUCAGGAUGAACGCUAGCUACAGGCUUAACACAUGCAAGUCGAGGGGGCAGCAUGAACUUAGCUUGCUAAGUUUGAUGGCGACCGGCGCACGGGUGAGUAACACGUAUCCCACCUGCCGAUGACGUCGGGGGAUAGCCUUUCGAAAAGAAAGAUUAAUACCCGAUGGCAUAGUUCUUCCGCAUGGUGGAACUAUUAAAGAAUUUCGGUCAUCGAUGGGGAUGCGUUCCAUUAGG